GAGUCCUUAACUGACGCUAAUGCUCGAAAGUGCGGGUAUCGAACAGGAUUAGAUACCCUGGUAGUCCGCACGGUAAACGAUGGAUGCCCGCUGUUGGCGAUAUAUUGUCAGCGGCCAAGCGAAAGCGUUAAGCAUCCCACCUGGGGAGUACGCCGGCAACGGUGAAACUCAAAGGAAUUGACGGGGGCCCGCACAAGCGGAGGAACAUGUGGUUUAAUUCGAUGAUACGCGAGGAACCUUACCCGGGCUUGAACUGCCAGAGAACGACGGAGAGAUCCUGAGGCCCUUCGGGGCUCUGGUGGAGGUGCUGCAUGGUUGUCGUCAGCUCGUGCCGUGAGGUGUCGGCUUAAGUGCCAUAACGAGCGCAACCCUUUUCGCUAGUUGCCAUCAGGUUAUGCUGGGCACUCUGGCGAUACUGCCACCGUAAGGUGUGAGGAAGGUGGGGAUGACGUCAAAUCAGCACGGCCUUUACGUCCGGGGCUACACACGUGUUACAAUGGGUGGUACAGAGAGUCGGCCGUCUGCAAAUGCGGUCCAAUCAAUAAAGCCAUCCUCAGUUCGGAUUGGGGUCUGCAACCCGACCCCAUGAAGCUGGAUUCGC
rnacentral:rRNA from 1 species